rnacentral:rRNA from 1 species
GACGAACGCUGGCGGCGCGCCUAACACAUGCAAGUCGAACGGAGCUGAGAGAAGCUUGCUUUUCUUAGCUUAGUGGCGAACGGGUGAGUAACGCGUGAGUAACCUGCCCUGGAGUGGGGGACAACAGUUGGAAACGACUGCUAAUACCGCAUAAGCCCACGGUACCGCAUGGCACUGAGGGAAAAGGAUUUAUUCGCUUCAGGAUGGACUCGCGUCCAAUUAGCUAGUUGGUGAGGUAACGGCCCACCAAGGCGACGAUUGGUAGCCGGACUGAGAGGUUGAGCGGCCACAUUGGGACUGCAACACGGCCCAGACUCCUACGGGAGGCAGCAGUGGGGGAUAUUGCACAAUGGGGGAAACCCUGAUGCAGCGACGCCGCGUGGAGGAAGAAGGUUUUCGGAUUGUAAACUCCUGUCGUUAGGGACGAUAAUGACGGUACCUAACAAGAAAGCACCGGCUAACUACGUGCCAGCAGCCGCCGUAA